rfam:Picea glauca, whole genome shotgun sequence.
ACAUGCCCACAACAUAGCGUUAAUGCACCAGAUCCCAUUAGAACUUUGCAGUUAAGCAUGCUCGAGCUAGAGUAGUAAUGGGAUGGAUGACCAUCUGGGAAGUCCUAGUGUUUUACAUGCC